GGCCGUCGAAUUUGCGGAUGAUGGUGUCCAGAUAGGUGUUCUGGAGAGCGACGUGUCCCCGCCGCACGGGCAUGAUGACACCGGGGAGCAGGAAGAAGACGGAAAGAAGCGAAAUGUCCCGGUGCUGUAAGUCACUUCCUUCACGGUCAGCCAGCAGCGGAAGCGGGUGAGAGGAGAUUAGAGCGCAUGCUGGAGAAGAACCGCGUUAAACCGCUGAGGAAGAACAGAGAGAGAGAGAGAGAGAGAGAGAGAGAGAGCGCGCGCAUGGGAGUUGUUGCGCGACAGAAAUGUCACCGAGUUCCGGUUGCCAAGGCGAUGAAAGAGCGCGCUCGCGACAGGAUUUCUGUGGUGAGCAGAAAAGCAUCUCAGCAUGCAACAGCAGAACAGAAGAACACAUCGGGUUCCACUCCUGCAGCCAAGAACAGGGAUCUUAGACUCAACAACAAGUUCCUAUUAAAAUGGCCGUAAACUCCUGUCCUGAGAGCUCUGUAUCACAGCGUCUCUGAUCUGCACGCCUGAGAUGCCAAGUCUCUCUCUCUCUCUCUCUCUCACUUCAGAUAAGACUUUUCCCUCACCCAUGAAAGAGCAGAACAGCCAUAUGAUGUUUGGAAUGUGCUGAUUAUCAGAUGCGAAUCAGCAUGUACUCCUGAGCUUAAUUUGUUGAUGAAGUCGUGGGUCAGAGGUGUGUCUUCACAUGCCUGAAAAUGCUGUAUAGAGGAUAUUACAUGGUCAAGCAAAUAUCUGAAGUUUAUCUUCAUGUGGUGAAUAUCACAAAUGAGUGAAGCGAACAAGUGAAAAUAUUUUCAAUACGAGAAGAUAAACAUCAUAUCUUCACGCCACCGUGUAAUUUUGACCAUGCCUGUCUAAUCAGCGAGAAAACACUGGAAGAGACGUCAUCAGAGUGAAAUAUCAGGAAUUAUUAUACACACAGGACACUUUUUCGAUGGAAUAAAAGCAUGUGUUCUAUUCCCUUCUAACGGGUUUUAUUCAUUUGGUUUGAUAGCAUGCAAUAUUGUUAGCAUAUCGCUUAUACUAUGUGUAUUACGUCACUCUACCCAAUGAAGAAUGAGGAUUGAAUAUGGUUUACGAUAUUGCAUGGUUGUCAAGACAACAUGAUGUCACAUGUCGGAGACGUAAAACUUCCGCGCUAGCGAGCGGCUGGAACAAUUUGUAAACAAAAAUGGCCGCCAGGUUUGCUUCGUUAAAUACGGAAGAUUUUGAGAGAAUUUUGAAGAGAAAGACGCACUGAACACCUGAAAGGAAUGUGUAUGUAUAAUUAGGGCUGGGCGAUUUUACGAUUACGAUGUUAUUCACGAUAUAAAAUCUCUACGAUUAGAAAUUAGACACGUACGAUAUGCCUACGAUAAGCCUACGCCUUCAAUAAAAUUACUUCAUCCGAAGUUUUGACAGACGCGCGAAUAGCCAAUCAUAACUAAACAGUACCGCACGAACCAAUCAGUUGGAAGAGAGCCACGUCAAGUUAGGUUGCGUGCACACACAAACACACACACGUGUAGCAGCAACGCACAGCAUGGCUGUGGUGAAGUUUGCAGGAGCGCGGCAUUUCUCCAACAAAGCGAUUAUAACAGGGUUCCCGCGGGGUUUUAAAAGGUAGUUAAUUAAAAUAGGCUAAAUUAUGGCCAGUAAAAAGUAGUAAAAGGUAGUAAACGUAAUCUGACGUGGUAGUAAAUUUUUUUGACCCCCAUCCAACUGGGCCUAUGUGUUUUCUAAUUCGUUUAAUUAACCUGCAUGCCAUAAUAUCCAUAAAUUACUACAUUUGGGCGAAUUUAUUUUUAUGUAUCGAGGAGGACCGCAGUGAGGAGUUGGUGGCGCAUGCGCAUUGAAUUCCAAUAACGGUCGAAUCCAGUAUAAAUUUAUACCAGAGAUUGUUUAGUAUGAGACUGACUUUGUUUAUACGGCUCUAGUCGAAUCUAUCUGUUGACCCGACUGGCGACAUCUGCACAAGAAUUAAACAAUGGGGAAAUGCAAAUUUUCAGACCUCUGGCUGGAGGAACCUGAUUUUAAAGACUGGCUAAAGGUGGUAGAUGGCAAUCGGCGAGAGGCGCUCAUUGAAAAGUUGAUCGAGGCACAUGUAAUGCGUUGUGUGUGCACCAUUUGAGGCAUCCAAAAUGUGAUGAGCAAAUCUGUUGAACUGUUCAAAUGAUUAAGAUUAACCCUCUAAAACACUGAUCUCUGGGAGGAAGGUGCUGACUCUGCCCACGGGCCUUCACGACUACAGGACUGGUGCAAAUGACUAUCUUAAGCAAACUUGGCAAUGUGUUGAGAGACUGCCAAAAUAGGGCUUGGGUUAUGUGUGUUUUGUAUCUUUAGGGUGUGUGUCUUGUCUUUGUCAUGUGUGUGUGCACUGUGU